rnacentral:rRNA from 1 species
GGUUCGAUUCCGGACAGGGAGCCUGAGAAACGGCUACCACAUCAUGGAAGGCAGCAGGCGCGCAAAUUACCCAAUCCCGACACGGGGAGGUAGUGACAAUAAAUAACAAUACGGGGCUCUUUCGGGUCUCGUAAUUGGAAUGAGUACAAUUUAAAUCCCUUAACGAGGAACAAUUGGAGGGCAAAUUUUGGUGCCAGCAGCCGCGGUAAUUCCAGCUCCAAUGGCGUAUAUUAAAGUUGUUGCAGUUAAAAAGCUCGUAGUUGAAUUUCGGGAUUGACACAUCGGUCGUGCCUUAAGGGGUAUGAACUGGUGUAGUCAAUUUCUCACCUUCUGGAGAACCGCGAUGCCCUUAAUUGGGUGUCRCGGGGAACCAAGACCCUUUCUUUGAAAAAAUUAGAGKGGGUUAAAGCAAGGMUUUUUGCUUGWGUACAUUAUCAUGUGAAAAUAAAAAAAUGACNGGCGUGUGUCUUNUUUU